CUACUUAAUUGUUGAUAACGAACGAGACCUUCACUGUUAAAUAGCCCGUACUUGCUUUGGCAGUACGCUGGCUUCUUAACGGGACUAUCCGUUCAAGCGGAUGGAAGUUGGAGGCAAUAACAGGUCUGUGAUGCCCUUAGAUGUUCUGGGCCGCACGCGCGUUACACUGACGGAGCCAGCGAGUACUUCCUUGGCAGAGAUGCCCGGGUAAUCUUGUUAAACUCCGUCGUGCUGGGGAUAGGGCAUUGCAAUG
rnacentral:rRNA from 1 species